rnacentral:tRNA from 1 species
AUAUUAGUAGUUUAAAAAAAACAUAUGAUUUUCACUUAUAAAUUUCCUCUGGACUAAUAUC